rnacentral:rRNA from 1 species
GACGAACGCUGGCGGCGUGCUUAACACAUGCAAGUCGAGCGGAAAGGCCACUUCGGUGGUACUCGAGCGGCGAACGGGUGAGUAACACGUGAGUAAUCUGCCCCUGGCUUUGGGAUAGCCACCGGAAACGGUGAUUAAUACCGGAUACGACCACUUCUCGCAUGGGAUGGUGGUGGAAAGUUUUUUCGGCCAGGGAUGUGCUCGCGGCCUAUCAGCUUGAUGGUGAGGUAAUGGCUCACCAUGGCUUCGACGGGUAGCCGGCCUGGGGGGGUGACCGGUCACACUGGGACUGAGACACGGCCCAGACUCCUACGGGAGGCAGCAGUGGGGAAUAUUGGACAAUGGGCGGAAGCCUGAUUCAGCAACGCCGCGUGAGGGAUGACGGCCUUCGGGUUGUAAACCUCUUUCAGCAGGGACGAAGCGCAAGUGACGGUACCUGCAGAAGAAGCACCGGCCAACUACGUGCCAGCCGCCGCGGUAA